ensembl:snRNA U6 U6 spliceosomal RNA
GUGCUCACUUUGGCAGCACAUAUACUAAAAGGGGAAUGAUACAGAGAAGAUUAGCAUAUCCCCUGCACAAGAAUGACAUGCACAUUCAUGAAAAUGGGAUUUGAUAA